GAGGCAUUAGCUCAGUCGGUCAGAGCAGCGGACUCAUAAUCCGUCGGUCCUGGGUUCAAGCCCCAGAUGCCUCACCA
rnacentral:tRNA from 1 species